CAGCGCUGCCCGUCACCAGCAGGUCACCGCCUGGGGAACACUCGCAGCCCACUGAGUAGCCCUCCACCUUGUGCCCUUCAUAGCGCCGCCGUCUGCUCAUCCGGUAGGGCCACACAGUGGAGAAAAGGGCCAGGUCUGUUAGAUGCAGGGCGAAGUCAAAGCCACCACUGAGGAUGCGCCGGCCACAGGGAGACCAGCGGGCGGCCCGCACUGCCUCUGUGUGCAGGGAGUAGGUCUGCAGGCAGUACCCAGAGUCCACAGCGUUCCAUACCUUGAAAGUUUUAUCCAUAGAAGUGGAGAGAAGCAUGUGGCUCUGAGAAAGCACUGGACACCACUGAACACUGUUGACAGGGCCCCUGUGGCCUCUCAGGUUUGUGGGAACCCUGUGUCAAUCAAGUUUACUGAAGCCAUUUUUGCAACAUCAUGUGCUCAGUUAGCGUCUCUCCAUCACAUUUUGGUAAUUCUCACAAUACUUCAAACUCUUUCAUUUAUUAUAUCUGUUAGAAUGAUCUGUGAUCAGUGAUCUUUGACGUUACUAUUGUAAACUGUUUUGGGGCAUCACAAAGUGCACCCAGAGAAGACGGCAAAUUUAAUCAAUAAAUGUGUAUGUUCUGGAGGUGCCACCUACCCAGUGUUCUCCUGUCUCUCUCCCUCUCCUCAGGCCUCCUUAAUCACUGAGACACAGCAAUAUGGAAAGUAGACCAGUUAAUAAUCCUACAAUAGACUCUAAGCAUUCAUUUGAAAUAAAGAGUCGCACAUCUCUCAUUUCAAAUCAAAGGCUAGAAAUGAUUAAGCUUAGUAAGGAAGACAUGCUGAAAGCUGAUACAGGCAGAAAACCAGACCUCUUGCACCACAUAACUAAGUCAUGAACACAAAGAAAAAAUUAUUGAAGGGAAUUAAAAGUGCUGCUCCAGUGAACACAUGAAUGAGAAGAAAAUGAAACAGGCUUACUGCCGAUAUGGAGAAAGUUUUCGUGAUUUAGAUAGAAGAUUAAACACAACAUUCCCUUAAGCCAAAGCCUAAUCCAGAGCAAGGCCCUAAUGUUACUCAUUGCCUACAUGACUUGGUUGGACUCCUACCCCAUUUUUGUUGGCCAAUGCAAUGCCUAUGUGACAUGGCUAAAUUCCUACUCAGCUUUAACUCCAUUUAUUUUUAGGAAACAGGAUGUCUGUGGUCAGAAGUUCCUUUUUAGGUCUAAACCAGCUAAAGCUGAUGAAAUCUACAAUGGCAGCUUACUUGACCUCUGAAGAACCUCUGGCUUCAUUAUAAUCCAAUUUCCAUGCUAAGUGACACUCCCAUCAGCACCAUGACAGUUGACAAUCACCACGACAAUGACCAGAAAAGACCAGGAAAGCAUAGAAAAGAGGUGCCUCCUUGAUUCCAGGAAAAUCUCCAUCCCUUUCCAAGAAAAAUAUAUUCCUCUCCUGGCUCUUAAUGCCCAAACCCUUCA